GUCCCCUUCGUCUAGAGGCCCACAGGACACCGCCCUUUCACGGCGGUAACAGGGGUUCGAAUCCCCUAGGGGACGCCA
rnacentral:tRNA from 3 species